GGGGGGGGGGGGGAUACAGAAGUUGCUGCCCAUGUACCCGCGGGAGGAGACGAGCCACAGAGGGACGGAAGAGGGGCUGUGCCAUGCUAGGGGGUCAGGCAUGCAGGAGGCCCCAGCACCGGCCGUAUGGUUGCGUCACGUGCCACAGUGAACCCUCUCCCCUGGUGGGCACGCAGCUGCUUCUCAGCCUCCUCCACUGGUGUCCUCAUGAGUCCUCAGAAGUUUGGAGGACUGUUUUGCUCUCCCUCUGGAGGGUCCAGCAGCCCCCCGAAUGCCAUCUGUGUACCAAUGACCUGCAUUUUCAUCACAGGACCAGACUUCACUGCUGAACUCCCCCCCCCCCCCCAUUCCAAUGCUUAAGUGCUGACCCUGGGAACAGGGCUUUCAGAAAGGUCUCCAACCUAACUUUUCCUCAAGAGACCACAGGUUCCUGUCCCCCAACCUCCUGUCUUCAUCAGUGGGAGUCCUUACAACAAAGUACCACCAACUGAGUGGCUCAUAAACACCAGAUUUGUUCCUCAUGCUUCUGGAGGCUGGAGGUCAGAUCAGGGUGCCGGUGUGGACAGAUUCUGGGGAGACCACCCUCCCGGUUACAAUAUGGCCAACUUCUCACGGUGUGCUCCUGUGUUGGAAGGGGCUAGGGACUCUGUAGGGUCUCUUUUAUAACAACAUCAAUCCCAUCAUGAGGCCCCACCCUCGUGACCCAAUUACCUCCCAAAGCCCCGGCUUCGUGAUAUCAUCACUUUGGGCACUGGGAUUUCAGCAAAUAAAUUGUGGGGGACACCUUCAGUCCAUUGCUCCCCCUCUGCCCAGUCUCCCAGCACAGGUGACGGGAGCUCUGCCUAGCCAGCUAUUCAGGCAAAAAGCAUUGGCUUACCCCCCUUCUCCCUCUGUCACCCACACCAAGUCCAUGUGGCCUGUCUCCCAGGGCAGGCCGAGUGUCAUCACCCUGUGAUGAAUGACCUCUGAGACCAGGUCACACUCGCCCCCCCCCCCCCCCCCACCUUCUCAGUACUGAAACCAGACUGAUCCUGUUACAACAGAAGACAGGUCACAUCCUCCCUCUGCUCAGAACACUGCAGUGGCUCCCACCUCACUCCCAGUGAGAUCUGAAGUCAUUGCAACGGCUAAUGGUCAUUGGCUGAUUAAUAGCUAAUGGCUAAGGCCCUACGAGGUUGUUCCAGGCAGACCCCAAGGAGAUCUGUGUGUAGGAUGCUUCACAGGAACGUUGUUGGGGUCGAGCCCUUGGAAGGGAGGGGCUGAAGCAGGGUAGGGCAGAAGGAGAAGGGGAAGCCAAGCCACAGUGAAGCCCAGAGCUAACCCUCAGGCUCUCUGGAGCUCGGGUGGCCCUUGCGAGAUGUCCGGAGCAGGGCAAAGGGCCCCGUGUGUACACCACUGUGUUGAUUGGACAUGGGAAGCAGGGUACCUCUCAGAGGAGGUGUGACCCCCCCCCAGAAGCUGGGGCAGUGAGCCCUUCCUUCCCCAUAGUGGGUCUGAAUGUGCAUCAUGGUGUUGGUACAGGCUCUGGGGCGGUCUUUCCAGGGUCUCAGUAGUCCCCUCAUCCUGGGGGGGACUCAGAAGGAGGUGAGUGGAAAGGGCUGUCUUCUGCCGCUGCCGCUGGUCUCGGGGCCACGCAGAAGCCAUCGUCUCUCUCCGCUGGAAUCCGUCCCACGUUCACCUCACCCUCGGCCACCACCUCUGCUAGGCCCAGCAGAUGACUGUGUGAUGUGAGCCCUUCUGUGGCAGACCUGGGGCCUGGUCACCACACUCUUCCUGGGGCAGGAGUGCUGCACAUGCCCAUUUACCAUCAAAACUGGGCAAGAGGGGGCCUGCUCCCCACCCCCAUGUAGAGCAGCAGCCCUCCCUCGUCUCCGGGACCUUGUCCGUGGCCCUGCUGGGAGAAAGCCGGUGUCCAUGUGGCAUCUAGAGCCAGUAGGCCAACAGCACCCGGUUGGGUCACGUGAUGGAAGCUUUCCCACUUUAGGAAACGGAACCUCUGAACUCACAGAGCCCACGGUAGCAAGAUGGAGGCUGCGUACGCGUGGAAAGGCAGAACCGCCAGGCCUGCCCUUGGGCCCUGUAUCCUACCCCGUGUAGUCUACCCACGGCAACACAGCACUUCCUACCCUUCUUUGAUCUGGUGGCUACCUUCUGGGUCAUCACCUCCGCUCUGCUUGCUCAAGUGGGCAGCUUGGGGAGAGGUGUGUUACUGGUAGACCCGAGCCUGCAUACCCAAUGUGGAGUGUGAUGCACAUUAUGGGACCCUGUAUCGGGGUCAACACUCUGAGACCUCGGGAGGUGCCAGCUGAAGACUGAGAACAGGGAAGGAAACCACACCGGGAAUACGUUGAACCCUCUGAGCGAAGGGCCCAAAGAAAGUAACUGGCUUGCAGCUGUGCUCCCAGGAACCAUUCCCUUCCCGUGGAUCCUCAGGACACCCUUGAGCGAGGGGGUAUGUAGAGCAUUAGACCGCAGGACACCCUGGGUGGGUGUGGGUACAAGCCCCAGCUCUGUCCAGAUCUCUGCUCACACCGAGCUGACCCCUGGAGCACCGGGCUGGGAAAUCUUCCUUUUCCAUCAUCUGGUUCACAGGGGCUCUCCCCGCAGCCCUGGUGGGAGCAGAGGGACAGGCGUGCACAGCAGUGGUGGGUGACACAGGGGUGCAAACUGUCCGUUUGAUCUGGAACGUUCCACCUCCACCCUCUCACGCAUCCCUGCUGACUUGGCGGGGCUGAGACAGCCCUGCUCGUGGUAGGCAGGUCUGCCACCUGGUGGCCCGUGUCCGUCUUUAGAGAUCUGGGCAGGUCACUGUCCACACACCCCAGGCCUGAGGACCACUGGGUCUACAUCUGGCACAGCAGCUGACGACGCGGGGCUCCCGCCGGGCCAGUCUGCAGCACUCCACUGUCUCUGCCAAGGUCCUGGGUCCGGGGAUCAGACUGGUGAAUGAAAUGGGGCUCUGGUGGGCGCCAGCACCGCUGCACCCGUUAGGUUCGAGGGUGGCACUGAUUUCUGCUGCCCUUCGGGAUGAGACACUGUUCUUUAUUUCUCUCCCGGUGUGUGUGUGGGGGGGCAAUUGCAGACGUCUCCACCUGGCUGGCCCCACCACCACGGCUCUGACCCCGAGGGCCACUGAUCCAAUGUGAGGAUGAGCCAACCACCCUUUCUUUCUUUUCCGGUAACUCGUCUGAGGAGUGGAAACUGCCUCCGUCCUGGGGAGUUCCAGGGGCCCCCCUGAGAGUUUGAUUUGGGCCUGGAGCCCCUGAUUCUUUGGACCCGAUGUGCCCGACCUGAAAAAGAAGGCAGGAUGAGGCCUCGUUCUGGAUCUUAGGGGAAAAGCUUUCAGUCUUUCACCAUGGGGUGUAACGUCAGCUGUGAGUUGUCCAUAGACGUCCUUUAUCAGAUCACCCAUGUUCACAGAUGGCAAGAUUUCUUUUUUCUUAUGGCUGCGGAAUGUUCCAUCAUCUAUACACACCACAUCUUCCUUAUCCGUUCACCUACAGAUGGACACUUGGGCUACUUCCGUAACUUGGCUACUGUAAAUAAUGCUGCAAUGAACGUAGCGGUGCAUGUAUCUUUUUGAAUUAGUGUUUUCAUUUUCUUUGGGUUAGUACCCAGUGGGAUCCCAGGGGACUUGCUGGAUCACAUGCUAUUACUGUUUUAAUUUUUUGAGGAAUAUAAUAAUCGCUUUUUACUUCUUAAACUAUCAUUACAUUUCUGGGAGAAAUCCCAUUUGGUCUCAGUGUAUACUCUUUCUGAUAUGUUGCUGGAUUCAGAGUGCUAGAAAUUCAUUGAGUAUUUUCCAUCUAUAGUCAUAAGGGAUAUAUCAGUUAUAUCUUAGUGCAGAGCCUGCUUCAGAUCCCCUGUCUCCCUCUCUCUCUGCCUCUACCCCACUUGUGCUUUGUCUCUCUCUCUUGCUCUCUCAAAAGUGAAUAAAAACAUUUAAAAAUUAAAAAAAAAACUGAGCAGCUAAGACUUGUGCAUGUCAGUGUAAACACCAGCCAAAACACGUAAAAGCAACAAAAUGGGGGCUAAGAAGGACCAAAAAAAUGACAAAAAGAAUGACAGAUGAUAAACUGGCAGAAUGUUACUGCAUGAGGGCACAUGGAAGCCAAGUUCUAAAGGGGUCUUGACCCAAAUCAAAACUCUCAGUGGGCCCCCAGGCCAUCCCAACAGGCUGCUUCCACUCCUCAGGCCAGGAAAGGGAAUAGAAGUAAACGGUGAUUGGCUCAUCCUUGCACUGGAUCAGUGGCCUUCUGGGUAAGAGCCAUCGUGUGGUGGGGCCAGCCAGGUGGGGACGUGGGCCACCAGGUCACCUGGCGGCAGAGUUGCCCACGUGAGCAGGGUUGUACAAGACCUGCCAAGUCAGAGCUCUGAGUGGGCCCAGCACCAAUGCAUUAGAGGAUGGAGCGGAACAUUCCAGAUCAAACAGUUUACACUACCCCAUGUCAUCUACCCACCGAUGCCCGACACCCAUCCUUCUGCUCCCGCCCGGGAUCUAGGGGCAAGCACAAAGAUGUCAAUGUGUUGGCCCCUGAAUAUGAGUCUUCUAUGGUCUGAUGAAUGUCCUGUAGCGAAGUGUGUUGCAUUUAGCUCCUACCAACUUGUAAGAGCUGAUUGUUAAAUAUCAAGGGAUUUUUUUGUCCCAAUUGUGAAACACAGUUGUUGUUAAAAUUAAAUCAUGCGGGAAAAUUGUUAGGAACUCCAAAAUCUAUCGCCCCACUGAAUCAAUGAAUAAACUGCCAAAGUCAACUGAA